rnacentral:rRNA from 1 species
GGUACUUGUACCUGGUGGCGAGCGGCGGACGGGUGAGUAAUGCCUAGGAAUCUGCCUGGUAGUGGGGGAUAACGCUCGGAAACGGACGCUAAUACCGCAUACGUCCUACGGGAGAAAGCAGGGGACCUUCGGGCCUUGCGCUAUCAGAUGAGCCUAGGUCGGAUUAGCUAGUUGGUGAGGUAAUGGCUCACCAAGGCGACGAUCCGUAACUGGUCUGAGAGGAUGAUCAGUCACACUGGAACUGAGACACGGUCCAGACUCCUACGGGAGGCAGCAGUGGGGAAUAUUGGACAAUGGGCGAAAGCCUGAUCCAGCCAUGCCGCGUGUGUGAAGAAGGUCUUCGGAUUGUAAAGCACUUUAAGUUGGGAGGAAGGGCAGUUACCUAAUACGUAUCUGUUUUGACGUUACCGACAGAAUAAGCACCGGCUAACUCUGUGCCAGCAGCCGCGGUAAUACAGAGGGUGCAAGCGUUAAUCGGAAUUACUGGGCGUAAAGCGCGCGUAGGUGGUUUGUUAAGUUGAAUGUGAAAUCCCCGGGUUUAACCUGGGAACCGGAUCCCAAAUGGGAAAGCUUAAGAUGGUAAAAGGCGG